CGAGCGCAACCCUUGUCCUUAGUUACCAGCACGUUAUGGUGGGCGACUCUAAGGAGACUGCCGGUGACAACCGGAGGAAGGUGGGGAUGACGUCAAGUCAUCAUGGCCCUUACGGCCUGGGCUACACACGUGCUACAAUGGUCGGUACAAAGGGUUGCCAAGCCGCGAGGUGGAGCUAAUCCCAUAAAACCGAUCGUAGUCCGGAUCGCAGUCUGCAACUCGACUGCGUGAAGUCGGAAUCGCUAGUAAUCGUGAAUCAGAAUGUCACGGUGAAUACGUUCCCGGGCCUU
rnacentral:rRNA from 1 species